rnacentral:lncRNA from 1 species
AAAUAUAAUAAAACCAAUUUUAAAAAAUAGAUCAUUUAGAUUAUCUUAAAGUUUUAAUAUUAUAUAUACUUAAAAACAUAGAAAUUAUGGAUAUUAAGAAAAUAAUAUUAGAAGAAAUAAUAAACUAUGAAAAUGAAACUACCAAUUAUCUAGAACAGUUAUACGAAGAAAUUUACCCAGAAGAAUAUUAUUCAGACUAAAAACAUGUUAGAAUAUAUUAGACAAACUAGAGAAAAUCAAGAAAAUCUAAAUAAUGAAAUUAGUUAUAGAAACCGAAUUAGAAAAAUAAUGGAAGACCUAAAAGAAAAAUUAGCAUGGAUAGAAAAAACCUUAGAAAAUUUAGAUAAAAGUACAUGUGAUAGUGUAUAUAAUUUAAAAAACUCACUA